CGUCAUACGCGUUAUGCAUCUAGUCAUGCAUGUUAACCAAUGACUUAAAUUCUGCCAAGUCAUUGGUUAACCUGGCUGCCUCAGGCAACCCAUUCAAUACUCUAUCCGAUCACGGUUUAAUGCUGAUGCGCUCCCUGGUCAUAGCCACAUUCUUAUAUGCUUGUGAGUCUUGUGCGCUGACUGCAGAACUAGAGAGGAGGAUCCUGGCAAUGGAGUUGAGAUGCUACAGAAGGAUCCCAGAUGUUUCUUCAAAAAAGAAGAUAAUUACAGCCUACACUUUUCAUGUGUCAAUCAAGUCAUGCAUGUUACUCAAUGACUCCGCUAAGUCAUUGGUUUUCAUGGUUGAUUCAUUAAAAAAAUAUAGACAUUCAGGCUAGCAUGAUGGAAAAAGGCAAUGCCUGCCAGACAGAGGACCCAACCUAAAAAAGGAGGACUUGCCCUUCAUUUGCUGGACAUCUGGUAAACCUAUUUAUAUCAGUUUUUAUUAUAGCUGGUGAAUAUUAAUUUAACUAUUGACAAAAAAAACAACCUUUUGUUUUAAUAUGAUUUAAGAAAUUUUAUAAAGUAUUUUUUUUUAUUCCAGUAGCCAGAUU